rnacentral:other from 1 species
CAACUCCUGCGGUGUGCGUCAGGGGCGGCUGGUUUUCGUGCCAACCAAAACCAACCGGGAGCUACUCCCUGCUUCGGUGAGCCAAAGCCGAGACUUUGACCUAAAGAAGCACAGCGGCGCCCACUUAAUCAGCCGGACUCGAAAACAGACCCCAACGGCAUCAGCGGGAGUUGC